GACGAACGCUGGCGGCGUGCCUAACACAUGCAAGUCGAGCGAGGAACUUCGGUUCCUAGCGGCGGACGGGUGAGUAACACGUGGGUAACCUGCCUCAUAGUGGGGGAUAGCCCUCCGAAAGGAGGAUUAAUACCGCAUAAGAAGUAAGAAUCGCAUGAUUCUAGCUUUAAAGGAGUAAUCCGCUAUGAGAUGGACCCGCGGCGCAUUAGCUAGUUGGUGAGGUAACGGCUCACCAAGGCCACGAUGCGUAGUCGACCUGAGAGGGUGAUCGGCCACAUUGGAACUGAGAUACGGUCCAGACUCCUACGGGAGGCAGCAGUGGGGAAUAUUGCACAAUGGGCGAAAGCCUGAUGCAGCAACGCCGCGUGAGUGAUGAAGGCCUUCGGGUUGUAAAGCUCUGUCUUUUGGGACGAUAAUGACGGUACCAAAGGAGGAAGCCACGGCUAACUACGUGCCAGCCGCCGCCGUAACAC
rnacentral:rRNA from 1 species